AACGAACGCUGGCGGCAGGCCUAACACAUGCAAGUCGAGCGCCCCGCAAGGGAGGCGGCGGACGAGUGAGUAACACGUGGGAAUUUUCCUUCAAGGUACGGAACAACUCAGGGAAACUUGGGCGUAAUACCGUAUGAUGCAGAGAUGCCGAAGAUUUAUCGCCUUGGGAUAAGCCCGCGUCAGAUUAGGUAGUUGGUGGGGUAAUGGCCUACCAAGCCUGUGAUCUGUAGCUGGUCUGAGAGGACGAUCAGCCACAUUGGGACUGAGACACGGCCCAAACUCCUACGGGAGGCAGCAGUGGGGGAAUCUUGCGCAAUGGACGAAAGUCUGACGCAGCCAUGCCGCGUGAAUGAUGAAGGUCUUAGGAUUGUAAAGUUCUUUAGCCUGUGACGAUGAUGACGGUAACAGGAGAAUAAAGCCCCGGCUAACUUCGUG
rnacentral:rRNA from 1 species